rnacentral:misc_RNA from 1 species
UACACAUUUUAUCAGGCAAAUCAAGAAAAUAAUUAAUUAUAUUACAAUAGUUAUUAAUUUUAAAUAUAUUUUCCAGAAAUCGAUCAAAAUAAAAACUGAAAUUUUCCGGAAAAUCUUGUUUGGAGACGAAAUGGCGCCGCUCGUUGCACCCCCUUGCUCCCCCCUCGCUACGCCACUGAAACUGUAAAAGAAAUUAGUAUAAAAAAUAAGUGUUUUGUUCUCUAAAUUAGCAAUUAUGAAAUUCAGAAUGAAAAUGGUUGAAAAUAAAUGAAAUUUAAAUUACAGGAUGUAUUUUAUUAAAUUACUAAAAAGUGGUUGAAAAUGCUUAUCUGAGUUUUAAAAUGUACAAUUUAUUGGGUGUAGCUUGUGGUAAAGUGUACACAAAAUCGUCAUUCCGAAGUUUUGAGAUUACUGUUGAUCAUAUUCUGACUCCCAGCUCUUUGUCAGCAUAAAACUAUAGUUGAAUCACUUGUUACCUAUUUUACAGAUCAUCUGAGAGGAUUAUUUUAGAAGUAUAGUUUGUAUCUUGAAUUAUAGUUAAACAUGAAGCAAUAUUAACUAUUACAAUUUGAAAUAUAAAAGUUGUGUUUUUGUUAUUUCAUUUGGUAUUUUCAGACUAUCAGCACAUCCAGUUUCAACAUAUGGUAAAAUUGCUGUGUUUUGGGCAUAUCUCUGAGUAUACAUGUGACUAGAGCCACCUCCAAGUGCAUGUGAAUUUAUGCACUUAAUGUACUUUAUUGUGAUUUCACUGAACAGGUUGUGAAAAUGUAAAUAUCAAUUGCCUAUCUUUGUUUUUUUCUCAUAAAUUUCUUGCUUCUUACAAAAAUGCUUCAUUAUUAUUUUAUCAACAGAAUAUUAUCCUUUAGCCAUAAAGAUUAAUGAACUAAGAUUUUUUACCAAGUUGGCAACUUUUUGUGGAAACGUGGAUAAUGAGAGGUGUGUUGGGCCUGCUGAGUGAAAAUAAUGGAGUCCUGUGUAGAAACUCAUCUGAAUCAUCAUUACUUACUUUUAAACCUUCCAACACCUGUUCAAGAAGUGACUGUAGUUUAUCCUAAAUAAAGUAAA